AGCGAACGCUGGCGGCAGGCCUAAAACAUGCAAGUCGAGCGGGCAUAGCAAUAUGUCAGCGGCGGACGGGUGAAUAACACGUGGGAACAUGCCCUUUGGUACGGAACAACUCAGGGAAACUUGAGCUAAUACCGUAUGUGCCGGUAACGGGAAAGAUUUAUCGCCAAGGAUUGGCCCGCGUCCGAUUAGCUAGUUGGUGAGGUAACGGCUCACCAAGGCGACGAUCGGUAGCUGGUUUGAGAGAACGAUCAGCCACACUGGGACUGAGACACGGCCCAGACUCCUA
rnacentral:rRNA from 1 species